rnacentral:lncRNA from 1 species
CCAAAAAACAUAUAAUUGCCUCUCCUCAAGCAAGGAUAAGACAAAGGGAACCUGCCUGGCUGGAACUGAGGGGGACUGAAGCAAGAGGUGUUCUGAAUGUGGCAGCACAGCUCAAUUAAGAGACCACUGCAUGUUGUGAAACCUUCCUGACACAUGAAGGCCUUUUGAAGCUGAGGUGCCCUGAGUGCUGCUGGGCUGGCCAAGGGGCCUUCUCUGAAAUCCCUUCUUCACACAGGAAGAGAAACAUUUGCUCAUCUGAUGGUGCACCUGAAACAAAGUUGCAUGGUCUGUUGAUAUUUAUUAGUGCAGGGCUGUGGCAAAUGGAGGCAGGUGCUGCUUCUGUGCAAUCCCAGCAACUCAAAUCUGCCUGCACUUAUUUCCUUUGGAU